AAUAGUGUGUGUGUGACACACGUGUGUUGGCUGUAUCGUGCCUGGACUGUGGUAUACGAAGGGGACCUCGCCUUGUUAAUUGAAUUCAGAGCUGCUAGGUUUGGCGCAGCUUGGUGUGGGACAUUUCUCAGCGGUGACAUUCACGGAUUUCCCUCUCUGGGUGUUCCCCGGCUGGGGAUGCGGCAGGGAGGGGCGGCUCCAGGCACCCGCUUGACGGCUGCAGUCAGGCGGCGUGUCUGCGGGAGGUCCGCCGGUCUGCGCUUUCAGCGGCAGUAGGGCAGGGGGUAGCCAAAGGCAAGGGACCAGCCGGCCUCCCACAGACACCUGCUGAAAGCCGCCUGACUGCCCUGCUUGGGGUGGCAAAAUACACGGAGCCGCCCCUGGCGGCAGGAGCCUAUCCCAUGUGCCCUGCAGAAGGGGAGGGGGGAGGGCUUGGAGAAGGUGAGUGAGGAUCCGGGUUGUGGAGCGAGUCAGCGGGAAGAUGUUUGAAGACGGAGGACAGAAGUGCACAGAAUUAAUUUUAGAUGCCAACAAGUGUGACACUGAGAUGGCCCUGAGCAGUAGUUCCCAAGAGCACACUUUCUGGUGACAGCUAGAGUGGAAUUCACCUGCUGCAGAGGUUCAAAUAAGGCUCUUCAUAGCUACCAGUGAUUAGGACUCAACCUGUAUGCAGUUUCAUGUUUUGAGUGUUGACUCCUAACGAGCAGCAAGACUGAACUACCACUCCAGUUUUAAUCAUACAGUAGGGAAGGAUGUCAGUGCAGAAGAUGGUCUGAGGUUUGCAACAUGGAGAUCAAGGGCCUGAUUCACCACUGCUAUGCACCUGAGGUACUGAUUUACCCUUCAUUAUUUCUAUUAUGGUAGUGCCUAAGGACCAAUGGAGAAUAGUGCCCUAGAGCACUAGGUGCUGUACAAACAGCGUUACAGACAGUUCUUUGUAGGCCUAACUUUACAUGAGUAAGUUGACAUAGGUAAGACUUUAUUUCUGAAUGGGCCUGGAAGGUGAACAGAAGACUGAGUAAAUAAGGGCUUAACAAAUAUUUGGCUGGAGUCAGUCUAGCUAAGAUAAGCAGAAACACUCUGGACAAAAUGAACCAAAUAAACUUGGAACAUAGAGAUCAUACAUGAAAAGCACAUAGACAGAGCAUGCUGUACAGGGAUUAGUUCCUAAAAAGUAACCAAACCAAUCAUGAAAUGAGUAAUGCAAUGUGUAGCCAGGGAUGCUGGUGUCAGUAAAGAUGUAUAUAAGGAAAACCUUUGUUGGGUAACUGUGGAUUUGCAAUGAACCCUGCAUCCACCCCCUAUGUUUAAGCCUGGCUAGGGUGGGCAUAGUGUUGCUAUAUGUA